rnacentral:rRNA from 1 species
UACGGGGGGGGCAAGCGUUGUUCGGAAUUACUGGGCGUAAAGGGCUCGUAGGCGGCCAACUAAGUCAGACGUGAAAUCCCUCGGCUUAACCGGGGAACUGCGUCUGAUACUGGAUGGCUUGAAUCCGGGAGAGGGAUGCGGAAUUCCAGGUGUAGCGGUGAAAUGCGUAGAUAUUGGGAGGAACACCAGUGGCGAAGGCGGGUCUCUGGACAGUUCCUGACGCUGAGGCACGAAGGCCAGGGGAGCAAACGGG